AUUGUCCUAAAAUAUGUUAUGUUUGAGCAAACUUUCCAAUAAUUAUAUAUGCCUAGUUAUAUUUUAUAAUAAUUUUACAAUAGUUUUAAAAGUACCUACCAGUAGAUAUAAGACGGGUUCUUAAGCUUAUCAUAUAGGGUUUUAACUGAAACUUAAACCUUGAAAAAAUUACUCUAAAUGACACAUUUUGACUUUCCAAUAUCAUAAUAAGAAACAUUCUACUUUCAAUACACAUUCUGCUUGCAUAAUGUCCAAAAUAUCCUCUUAACCAAUAUUUCAUUCUCGUUACUUUUUGUUCUUUAGUUGUUUGUAUUUUAAUUUGAAUUUAAACAAAACAGAGAAAUGUACUUUCCGAAAUAUAUUACAAUUCAUGAACCCUAAUCUCAUCAUUCUUCUGCCAUUAAAUUUUCACCAUUUUCCACCUAGUUGUCCAAUACAGCUAUUCUCCACCUCUCUUUAUGUUCUCUAUCAAUCAAAAAGAGAACAAGAAUCCCAGAAGAAUCCAAAAUGAGAAACCAAACUAAAAAAUUAAAAUUUUCAAAAUUCAGUGAUGCAAGGGUUCUUCUUUUUCUACUUCUUCCUCUGACUCCACCGGCGAAGCACAAAGAUUUCCAUUUUUCCGACGCUGUUGGUUCACCAUCCUCCGAGACACUCACCACCUCGUUUCUCUCACAUCUACCUCUUAUGGCUCUC
rnacentral:lncRNA from 1 species